rnacentral:rRNA from 1 species
UACAGAGGGGGCAAGCGUUGUUCGGAAUUACUGGGCGUAAAGCGUGCGCAGGCGGUUUGUUAAGUCUGUUGUGAAAUCCCCGAGCUCAACUUGGGAAUUGCAAUGGAUACUGGCAGGCUGGAGUAUGGUAGAGGAAGGUGGAAUUCCCGGUGUAGCAGUGAAAUGCGUAGAGAUCGGGAGGAACACCAGUGGCGAAGGCGGCCUUCUGGACCAAUACUGACGCUCAUGCACGAAAGCGUGGGGAGCAAACAGG